CAGCAGGUCAUCUACAGAUCAGCUGUGUCAGUGCUGAUUGGUCGUUCCCCCUGCUGAAAUUAAACUGUUUCCUACUAUCCCUGUGCGUUUGCAUCCCACAGCUCACAGGGACGCUUGGUCUCAGACAU